UGGUUACUCAAUAAAACAAAUUAUAGUGUC
rnacentral:piRNA from 1 species